UCAGAGAGUUUGAUCCUGGCUCAGAUUGACGCUGGCGGCAGGCCUAACACAUGCAAGUGCGAGCUGGAAACGAGUUAUCUGGAACCUUCGGGGAACGAUAACGGCGUCGAGCGGCGGACGGGUGAGUAAUGCCUAGGAAAUUGCCUUGAUGUGGGGGAUAACCAUUGGAAACGAUGGCUAAUACCGCAUAAUGCCUACGGGCCAAAGAGGGGGACCUUCGGGCCUCUCGCGUCAAGAUAUGCCUAGGUGGGAUUAGCUAGUUGGUGAGGUAACGGCUCACCAAGGCGACGAUCCCUAGCUGGUCUGAGAGGAUGAUCAGCCACACUGGAACUGAGACACGGUCCAGACUCCUACGGGAGGCAGCAGUGGGGAAUAUUGCACAAUGGGCGAAAGCCUGAUGCAGCCAUGCCGCGUGUAUGAAGAAGGCCUUCGGGUUGUAAAGUACUUUCAGUUGUGAGGAAGGGGGUGUCGUUAAUAGCGGCACCUCUUGACGUUAGCAACAGAAGAAGCACCGGCUAACUCCGUG
rnacentral:rRNA from 1 species